rnacentral:rRNA from 1 species
AUCUAUACGGUGAAACUGCGAAUGGCUCAUUAAAUCAGUUAUCGUUUAUUUGAUAGUACCUUACUACUUGGAUAACCGUGGUAAUUCUAGAGCUAAUACAUGCUAAAAACCCCGACUUCGGAAGGGGUGUAUUUAUUAGAUAAAAAACCAAUGCCCUUCGGGGCUCCUUGGUGAUUCAUAAUAACUUAACGAAUCGCAUGGCCUUGUGCCGGCGAUGGUUCAUUCAAAUUUCUGCCCUAUCAACUUUCGAUGGUAGGAUAGUGGCCUACCAUGGUUUCAACGGGUAACGGGGAAUUAGGGUUCUAUUCCGGAGAGGGAGCCUGAGAAACGGCUACCACAUCCAAGGAAGGCAGCAGGCGCGCAAAUUACCCAAUCCCGACACGGGGAGGUAGUGACAAUAAAUACUGAUACAGGGCUCUUUUGGGUCUUGUAAUUGGAAUGAGUACAAUUUAAAUCCCUUAACGAGGAACAAUUGGAGGGCAAGUCUGGUGCCAGCAGCCGCGGUAAUUCCAGCUCCAAUAGCGUAUAUUAAAGUUGUUGCAGUUAAAAAGCUCGUAGUUGAACCUUGGGCCUGGCUGGCCGGUCCGCCUCACCGCGUGCACUGGUCCGGCCGGGUCUUUCCUUCUGGGGAGCCGCAUGCCCUUCACUGGGUGUGUCGGGGAACCAGGACUUUUACUUUGAAAAAAUUAGAGUGUUCAAAGCAGGCCUAUGCUCGAAUACAUUAGCAUGGAAUAAUAGAAUAGGACGUGUGGUUCUAUUUUGUUGGUUUCUAGGACCGCCGUAAUGAUUAAUAGGGAUAGUCGGGGGCAUCAGUAUUCAAUUGUCAGAGGUGAAAUUCUUGGAUUUAUUGAAGACUAACUACUGCGAAAGCAUUUGCCAAGGAUGUUUUCAUUAAUCAGUGAACGAAAGUUAGGGGAUCGAAGACGAUCAGAUACCGUCGUAGUCUUAACCAUAAACUAUGCCGACUAGGGAUCGGGCGAUGUUAUCUUUUUGACUCGCUCGGCACCUUACGAGAAAUCAAAGUCUUUGGGUUCUGGGG